CUGGGCCUGAGAGCCGUACCCAGCCUGAGAACCCUAGCGACACUGGGAACCGUACCGACACUGACAACUCUAGCGACACUGAAAACCCUACCGACACUGACAACCCUACCGUCACUGGGAACCCUGCCGUCACUGAGAACCGUGCUGAGACUGACAACCCUACCGAGGCAGAGACCCCUACUCGGAUUGAGAACCACAUCCGACCCGUCAUCAGCUUUACUGGAUCUGUAGAACAGAUCGUCGACUUGGAGGAAAAGAAGGAGCAGCUGGUUGCCUCUGUCGUCAUCCAUUUCACAUGGCAGGACAGCCGACUGAGCUGGGAUCCAAAGUACUACGACAACAUCGAGACUAUCAGCGUCCCUGGCAGCAGUAUCUGG